GCUUGUCUCAAAGAUUAAGCCAUGCAUGUCUAAGUAUAAAUAAUUUUUUACUGUGAAACUGCGAAUGGCUCAUUAUAUCAGUUAUAGUCUACUCGACAGUACCUUACUACUUGGAUAACCGUAGUAAUUCUAGAGCUAAUACAUGCAUAAAUACCCAACUGCUUGUCGGACGGGUAGCAUUUAUUAGAUUGAAACCAAUGCAGUCUUCGGGCUGGUAUUGUGUUGAGUCAUAAUAACUGUGCGGACCGCAUUUCUGCGGUAAAUCGAUUGAGUUUCUGCCCUAUCAGCUUUGGAUGGUAGGAUAUGGGCCUACCAUGGCAUUAACGGGUAACGGGGAAUUAGGGUUUGAUUCCGGAGAGGGAGCCUUAGAAACGGCUACCACAUCCAAGGAAGGCAGCAGG
rnacentral:rRNA from 1 species